rnacentral:rRNA from 1 species
AUCGAACGCUGGCGGCAGGCCUAACACAUGCAAGUCGAACGAGUGGCGGACGGGAGAGUAAUGUCUGGGAAACUGCCUGAUGGAGGGGGAUAACUACUGGAAACGGUAGCUAAUACCGCAUACCAUCGGUUCUGCCCAGAUGGGAUUAGCUAGUAGGUGGGGGAAAGGCUCACCUAGGCGGCGAUCCCUAGCUGGUCUGAGAGGAUGACCAGCCACACUGGAACGGGGACACGGUCCAGACUCCUACGGGAGGCAGCAGUGGGGAAUAUUGCACAAUGGGCGCAAGCCUGAUACGGCCAUGCCGCGUGUAUGAAGAAGGCCUUCGGGUUGUAAAGUACUUUCAGCAGGGAGGCGUUACCCACAGAAGAAGCACCGGCUAACUCCGUGCCAGCAGCCGCGGUAAUAC